ACAUGAUGGUGAUGGUAAACACUUUCAGCAAACAUGCCAGUUCUGCUUCUGACAAUUCAUGACUGAAAAACCUGCUAUAUAGACCCGAGCCAUGA
rfam:Triticum aestivum genome assembly, contig: Triticum_aestivum_CS42_TGACv1_scaffold_580313_7BL